AGACUUUGCUCCUCCUGUGAACUACUCCAUCUGGAGUGAAGAGAUGAAAUGGCAGAUUUGGCCCACUGAUACAAAGUGAUGCAAUCAUUGAGGGCACUAACAAUCCCAAUUUCCCAAAGGAAGAUAAACUCAUGGUGGUUGGAGUCUGGACGUCUAUUUUUGUCCUGCGAGGAAACAAGACGCGGUUAGUAUUGUGGAAGCAAAUUUUGCAGUCAAAGUAUAUAAAAAGCUGACUAUUCGUGUACAACAAGUUGACUAUUGUAGAAAUCAUGCACGCUUUGCUCAAUAUAUAUGUCAAGAAAUAUACACUGCGAUGUUCAAGUGAAAUUUAUUUAACAUAUGGAACUGAACUGACAGAAAGAGCCUGGGGAGGAACGUGACAGGGUUGAACCAUGACGGAGAUGUCCAUACUAAAUAGUGAGGUUUUUUGUUACCCUAGCCUGUAAUGUGGUAGCUUUUUGCUAUUUACUCCAGUUGUUUCCCUUACUCCCGUUGAACGAAAACCUGCAAACAAGUUGCAGGUUGGAACAAUCACAAGGCAAAACAGACACCCAAAUACUGUCUUAAAACAAAGUGCAGUACGCAAGCUCCCAAGCAGCACCAGCAGCAACAUCAACAACACAUGCAUAUAAUGCGUUAGUGCGCUCACUGCCAGUACAUGUCUUAAAAUUAUGAUGCUCCAUGUUCCUUGUUGCAGUAUAACGCAUCAUAACUUUAAGACAGUAUUUUAGCUAGCCUGGGGAGGAACUGAACUGACAGAAAGACAAUACCUUAGCUAGCUCUGCUGCACACUGCAAUAAUGUCCUUUCGAAAUAAUCUAUUGAUCCUGGAAAUCAAGUGCGGCUUGUUAGCUUGUUAGCUUGGUUGCAGUUUGGUAUACAUAAUUAUAAUAACUGCUCUCUUCUGUUCAGUUCUGAAUUAAACCUCACAAGGAAAUAAUCAAUUAAUAAUCUUGGUUGCAAUCAUCUUUGGACAAAAUUAAAUCUGAUUCCUGCACACUAAGCUUUGCAAUCAUCAUUUUUUUCCUCAAGUUUGAACUGAAGUUGGUACUAAGCCAAAAUAGCUCGCUGUAUUCUAAUUUUAACAGCGCAGUGAAGCAAAAAAAAAGUAUGUGGAACGCAGAAGCAGAAAUCAAGCUGCAGAAGAAGGCUCAGUUCAAGGGGGACAUGCUCACCUGGAUCGGUGCUGCUUGCCG
rnacentral:lncRNA from 1 species